AGCUGAUUUUAUAUUAGUAACAUCCUGUGAUUUUAGGCAGCCAUUGCCAAAGCCACAACACUGGAGGAAGUAGAAAGACUCAACCAGAUGCUGAAGUCAGGACAGCUGCCAGGAAAAGAGCUGUUAAAAAUGAAUCAAACGCCAGGUGGUAAAAAAAAUGAAACUGAAGAUGAUGACGAUGACGAAACCAUGGAUACGGAGAGCGGCACCGUUAAUGGAAACUAAGGGUAGUGGAUGUCCAACUGUUGUCACUAGACUAACUUUGAUAGAUGUUUUGCACAUAAGAACAGAAACCUAAACACUUUCAAAGAUCUUAGUGUCAAUAAACCAAGAAGCGAUUGUUUAUAAGUCAAUAAAUAGCUGUAAUUGUGAAAUAAACUGUUUGUGUACUCUUUAA